UACGGGGGGGGCAAGCGUUGUUCGGAAUUACUGGGCGUAAAGGGCUCGUAGGCGGCCAACUAAGUCGGAUGUGAAAUCCCCAGGCUUAACCUGGGAACUGCAUCCGAUACUGGAUGGCUUGAAUCCGGGAGAGGGAUGCGGAAUUCCAGGUGUAGCGGUGAAAUGCGUAGAGAUCCGGAAGAACACCGGUGGCGAAGGCGGUCUGCUGGGCAGUUGCUGACACUGAGGCGCGACAGCGUGGGGAGCAAACAGG
rnacentral:rRNA from 1 species